UUUUUUAAAUUUCAUCUAUUUGUACAAUUAAAAGUUUGCGUGGUUAAUGGAAUAAUUAAAUAGUAACACAUGAUGUGUCUUAUGUAUUUUUUGCUAAUGUAUAAUAAUCAUUUUUAAUAGUAAAAAUAGAUAAAAUUUUAAGAA
rnacentral:pre_miRNA from 1 species